rnacentral:rRNA from 1 species
UACGUAGGGUGCGAGCGUUGUCCGGAAUUAUUGGGCGUAAAGGGCUCGUAGGCGGUUUGUCGCGUCGGGGAGUGAAAACCAGGUGCUUAACACCUGGCUUGCUUUCGAUACGGGCAGACUAGAGGUAUGCAGGGGAGAACGGAAUUCCUGGUGUAGCGGUGAAAUGCGCAGAUAUCGGGAGGAACACCAGUGGCGAAGGCGGUGCUCUGGGCCGGAACUGACGCUGAGGAGCGAAAGCGUGGGUAGCAAACAGG